GGAGAGAGAGGAGAGCCUGGUAUACCCGGUCUGCCGGCAUCCAGCCUUACUGGAAUUAAAGGAGAUAAGGGAGAAAGAGGUCUUAUAGGACCUGAAGGUCCACCUGGACCUAGAGGAGAUGAUGGGGACAAAGGAGA